UUACGUAAGGUUUCACGAAAAACCAUGAAAGGAAGGCGAUAGAGCGCUGAGACUGCGGCAAACAAGUUUUCAGCUCCGUAGUAGCACUUUUGCACAUGAAUGCAUUGAUUCAACAAGGUGAAAGAGAUAAGCGUUAAGCUCGGCCCCUCAAUCUACCCCUGCAACGAUUCUGAACAGGACAGGAGUUUUCUGGUCGCCAUUUUCUUUCAACUCUAACCCACAGAUUGAGCAAGACUUUGUUCUGAUGUUUGGAGAAGGAGUGUCAGGCAAGCUACUGGAGAAGUGAACCACUGCAUUCAAGAGAAAAGUGAUUUCAGCUGUGCAAAAAGCUUCCAAGCACCAGUGAUUUGGAAGAACUACUGCUAGCAGCUGAAUCUCCUACUGGUGACUCAGAAGAGGGUGUUAAUUUUGGUUGGGAUAGUGACCUCUCUUCUAUAAUACUUCUGCUGCAUCUGAUCCCACCUUCUGCCUAAGGCCAGAAAAGACCAGGAAAGGUGUCUGUGUCUCAAGCACAGAAGCACCUUGUUGUCUUCAAGAAGAGUGGAACAAACAUUGAGGAGCAUUUUCGAGAAAUCACAGCUAUUGCUCAGCCCUAUCUCCUGGCCGUGGGACCUCAGAAGAAUUCCGUUCACCAGUACUUCAACGUUCUUGAUCAGCAUGCCAUUCCAUGCAAGUCAACCUCUUCUCUUGGUGCCUUUGAUGAGUUGUUUAAGGCACACUUUGUUUUUGGCACCUGUUACAACAUUAUGCUACACAACAUGUACACUUUCAUUCAGACCACUGUGUACAACAUAGAUGUUGGCAAAGUGAAAGAGAGUCCUUGUGUUGCUGAGGUUAGAGCAAGGCUGCUUAGCUAGGUGCCUUCUGUCCUUAUGGUGUUUUGUUUGUCAGGCUGAGUUACUUGGUUCAAAAUUGCUUAUUAGGCACUUCAGAUUAGUUCAUGGUUUUGUUCCUGGAAAGAAUCUUUGCCUUAAUUGUGUAGAGACAGGGUGUAGUUCUGUGUUUGGUACUUUUUCAGGUUUUAGAAAACAUUUGAAUACAAAAUAUGCCAAGUAAAUUGACCAGAAUUUUGACACCACUGACAACCAUGAGACUGCUGAGGCAGAAGGACAAAUUAGUGCUCAAUCAUUUGAUCAGGCAGUGUUGGAGAGGUGGCCACAACGUCUGUAUUAUUAAAGUCAAAUAAGAGCACUUUGGAUAUGUGUGCGUCUGCUGUUGCACAACUAAAAGUUGCUGGGUUAAGUCAGUCUGCUAUAAGUGGUUUUGUUUCAUCUAUGGAGGAAGUUGUUUUUGAAGGAUGCAGCUUUGCUCUGUCUGUCUCCAAAUGACAUUGCUACUAAAAGGAAAAUAGAAAGUUCAAUUGAACAUUUGAAAAAUCUGUUUACUUUGUUAAAUUUGGAAGCCAAACGAAAGAGACAUUUUUCAGAGAAAUGGCUAACUGUUGAACCAACUCAAAUUGUGCUCGGCACAAGGUUUGAUAGCAGGAGCAAUAAAACCUUGUGCUCGGCACAAGAUUUGAUAGCAGGAGCAAUAAAACCACAGGAACAUUCGAUCAGGUUGUUGUAACAGAUAAAUUUGCUUAUAUUCCCAUAUUAGAAACACUAAAGUCAAUUACAAAAUCCGCAUCUUAUUGAUUUGUUUAAACCCAGGCAUGUUCCAAAGGAAGGUGUUUAUGUUGACUUAAGUGAUGCGGCACAUUUUAAAAGUAAACCUUUAUUUUACACAGAAAAAGAUGCCUUACAAAUUCAGUUAUUUUAUGACGAUUUUGAGACCGCUAAGCCUUUGAGUUCAAAAAAAGCUUUACACAAAUUGGGUGCUAUAUAUUUUACAUUAAGGAAUUUCACCCCUAUGUUUAACUCUUCAUUGGAUAAUAAAAAGUCAACAUAAACGCCUUCCUUUGGAACAUUAUGUGCCCUCUUUCAUGCACAGGAUAUUAGACGGUAUGGAUUUAAAUCUAUAAUUGAGCCUCUAGUAAAUUAUCUAAAAGUGCUUGAGAUUGAGAGGGUUAAGAAUCCAGUGUCUGGAAGUUGUGUUAGGGGUAUGUUGUUCAAGUAACAGGGGAUAACCUUGGCUUACAUGGUUUAUUAGGGUUUGUGGAGUCAUUUGGGGCUCAAUAUUGCUGUUGUUUCUGUGUCCUUGAGAAAGAUCACUUUCAGUUUGUGUGGUGCAUGUGCUAUGAAGCUAAACACAAUUAAAGAGCUUCAAAAACAUCACCAAAAUGCUAGCCAAAAAGCACCAGAGUUGUAUGGCAAUGCACUGGGAGUAUUUUAGCCAGUACAGAUUGACUCUUGGUCCAGGGAAGAUGGUGGAACUCAGUGGACUUAAAGGUGGCAGUGACAUGGCUUCCAAACUAGGAGUGGAAAUAUCAGAACUUGUCUAUUCUGUAACGUGGAUCAAACAUCAUGGUACAGAGUAUCGCCCUAGUUUUAUUAUCUGUACAGAAGUAGCAUGUGAGAUGCCAGUGCUUUGUAAGAUAAAGACUAUUGCUGUGAAGGAUGAUUAUUAUUAUUAUUAUUAGACAAAAAUUUAUUUAAAAAAACACAGCCUAGGGCGUUCGAGCCACAUGCACCAAAUUCAGAUAUGUUGU